rnacentral:lncRNA from 1 species
UCAAACCAAGCUCAAUUCCUUUCUUAAUCUCCAGAUCUCCGCACUUAGGGCUCUCGAAACUGCUGAUUUCUUCGCCUAAUCGAGAGGGUUUACCAGUGGUUUACUCAUCAUUAGUAAAAAUAUAAUCGGGGUCGUUAAUGGCUUCCUCAUCAUCUUCUUCCUCUUCUCCAUACACCGGGAAAUGGGAAUACGACGUCUUCUUGUGCUUCAGAGGCGACACCCGCCUCAGUUUCAUGAGCAAGUUAUUGCAAGUCUUCACUAGCUCCUACCAAGUAACAACAGGAAGCUGAGUCAGCUGCAUCUUAAGGUUGACGCUUUGACUGCAGUAGAAUACUCUUUCAUUCUGAUUCUACCCUCAAGUAGAGGAAUGAGAUGUCUUUUGUUGUGUUUGAUGUUCCGUUGCUGUUUGUGUGGGAUUUUACUACUGCUUGUGUUGGUUCGGGUACAAGGCCUGCGUGUUUUUGUGGCCUGCUUAUGCGGCUGCUGUUGCUGGUUUUGAUGCUCGGCCUUUGCGCUGUUUAUUCUUUUGGCUUGUAACCAGUUUUGCUUGUUCUCUGCUGGUAAUCCUUUGUUCUUGUGGAUUGCCUAAGUGCUGUAGUGGCGCCUAUGUGCAGGUCUGUUUUUGCUCUGUUUCUUUGGUUUAUCUUUUUUCUUGUGCUUUAGUUCUUGGUCUGGGGAUCUCCUCUGUAAAUCCUGUACAGUCCUCUUUAGUUAUACAUGCACAUUUUAUCUGAAAAAGUUGCAGACUAGGUUGUUGUGGAUAUUCACAACAAAAUGGUGAGCAUAUUCAAUGAGCUCUUUUGCUCCAAGCACUACCGCAUACGGUACGGAAUUGCAGGCACAAAAAGGAAAUCUUGCUUGCAGAUACCUUUUCAUGUAACAAUUCUGAUUUUUCUGUUUGGUGGAAGACAGAUGACAUCACUCGCAGUUGAAGUAGCUCCAUUUUCCAAGUCGACUCUCAUCACUAUGCACCAGGAGGAACACAAAAUUGUUGGAAAUGGCAACCAUCCUUUCUUGGGUAAUCUGAGCCCCUCUGUUCAUUCUUCUAGAGCCCUUUGAAUCUCUGUGUCAGCCAAGCUUUGGAGAAUUGUGAUGCUAGCCUGAUGAUGAUUCUGCAGCAUAGUAUCCAUUGCAUUCAUAGAGAUUGGAAGAAGACACGGUGGAGUCGAUGAGAAUGAACACCCUUUCAGCAAAAGCAAACAAAGAUUAUCCAAGUCCCUUGGCGAGCUUGUGAUCUGAACAGCACGACAGAUGGAAUCCAACCACUACAAGAACACAACUAUUAAACAUGGGUUUCAUUUUCUCUUAUGAUUUAUGGAUGCUUCGGGAAAAUAGUAGUUUAGCUAUUGAUUUUUUGUAUUUGUUUAUUCAACACCUCAUCUUUAGCAAGUCUCCGACUAGUGAGUUUCGGGCAGCUAGUUGAUGUCUUCCCACUCACCUAACUAGUUAUUUAUCGAAAGUUAUAUUGCUAGAAUUUGAAAUGCAUUUGAAGUCCAAAAUGACUUAGGAUAUAAGUCGAAAAGAAACUCUUUCUGAUUUGUAAUUCGAAUC